rnacentral:rRNA from 1 species
AUACGGAGGAUCCGAGCGUUAUCCGGAUUUAUUAGGUUUAAAGGGUGCGCAGGCGGCCAUUUAAGUCAGCGGUUAAAUCGUGGGGCUCAACCCCAUUCUGCCGUUGAUACUGGGUGGCUUGAUUGCGGUCGAGGUUGGCGGAAUUCGUUGUGUAGCGGUGAAAUGCAUAGAUAUGACGAAGAACACCGAUUGCGUAGGCAGCUGACCAGACUGCAAAUGACGCUCAUGCACGAAAGUGCGGGGAUCGAACAGGAUUAGAUACCCUGGUAGUCCGCACAGUAAACGAUGAAUACUUGUUUUCGGCGAUAUAAUGUCGGAGGCAAAGCGAAAGCGAUAAGUAUUCCACCUGGGGAGUACGCCGGCAACGGUGAAACUCAAAUGAAUUGGCGGGG